UUUAUUUUGAAGUAGCGUUGUGACGUCAUAAGACCGCGGCACGCUGGGCGUUUGUUGUGAAUCGGCUGAAGAAAGCUGACAUCCACGUGACACACUAUUAUAAAGAUGGCGUUUAUUAAAGAGGAGAGUGAAGACAUAAAGAUUGAAGAAGUGUUCAGCGUGAAACAUGAAGAUACUGAGGAACAAACAGACCUGAUGCAGCUGAAAGAGGAGAGUCAAGAACUGGAGGAAUUUGAAGUGAAACAUCAUUAUGAGAAACAUCAUGAUUUCAAAACAGAAGAAAAAUCUUUUAGUUGCUCAAUGACAAAAAUGGUUCCCUCACAAAAAAAGACUGAAGUUCUGAAGACAGAAACUAGUAGUGAUUUCACCUGCCAACAGUGUGGAAAAUGUUUCGGUCGAAAACAAAACCUUACAAUCCACAUGAGAAUUUACAAUGGAGAGAAGCCUUUCACCUGCCAGCAGUGUGGAAAGAGUUUCAGUCAAAAAUCAAGCCUUAAUGGCCACAUGAAAAUUCACUCUGGAGAGAAAUCUUUCACCUGCAAUCUGUGUGGGAAGAGCUUCUCACUAAAAGGAAAUCUACAGAUUCACAUGAGAAUCCACACUGGAGAGAAGCCGUUCACAUGUGAUCAAUGUGGAAAGAGUUUCAGAUGUAAAUUAAUUCUUAAAACCCACAUAAGCACUCACUCAAGAGAGAAAUGUUUUAUAUGUCAUCAAUGUGGAAGGAGCUACACAUACAGUAAACGUCUUAAGAAUCAUGUAAUAACUCACGUUGGAGAUACGCCUUUCAUGUGCCUUUACUGUGGAAUGACAUGCUUAAGCAAAGCAAGCCUUGAGGUUCACAUAACAAGUCACACUGAAGAGCCUUUCACAUGUCUUUAGUGUGACACGAGUUUCACAAAUGAAACAGACAUGAAACAUCAUUUAAAAACUCAUUCUGGAAAGAAACUUUAAUGUUCUCAAAAAAAUUCUUUUGCCAUCACACUUGCAGAUACACCUAAGACCCUGUUUCCACCUGGUAUUAAGAUGUGUUUCGGUCAAUCCAGGUGUAAACAUACCCGUUUACACCUGGUAUUUUAAUCCAUCUCUUUUGUCCACUUUCAACCACUUCUGUCCUGAUUUCUUCUAGGGGAGGGUCUAUGGGUGGGUAAAUGUAUGGGUUUUUUUCAGAUCUUUCGAUCUAAUGGGCAAAAUAAGUUUGCGCAAUUUACAUAUGAAUGUAUGGAGCUCAUCAGCUUUUGUUUCUGCUCUGACAGAUGCAAAAUAACGUUGAACGCGGUGAGUGUGUGCUAGAAAUCAGGAAUGGUGAGAGAACAUUGUGCUUGGAUUUUUUGUCUCUGAACCAGACUUGGUUCUGCAGCCAACAAAGUUUAAAUCCCAUCUAGCUACCACACUUUGCAUAAUUUACGCAUUAAGCCAGUAGGCAGAGGUAGGUGGUCUUUUUUUGUCUGUUUGAGCACAUUCGUCCACACAAGGGUUUCCACUACAAAAGCAAUCCGGUCAAAUGCGUUUUCGACUACCUCUGAAAGUGGGCGAAAAUGGACAAGCUUAAAACGUUUUUCACCCUGUUUACACCUGUAUUUAACGUUGUCCGCUUGUGAUCCGAUCAACCAAAACGCACCUUAAUACCAGGUGGAAACGGCCUAAAAAUUAUGCAGAUGUGAGACCCUGUUUUUGUGUGGAAAGUGUUUUAAAUGGCUCUGCAAUUUUAAAUGCCACCAGCAAAUAUCUGUGAAAUUAGUUUUGGUUUCAUUUAUUUGAGUCAGUUCAAUACUUCACAAUAAAAAUGUUAGAUAAACUUCUGUCUUGGUGUGAAAUGCAACAAUGUAAAUGAAAAAAUAUGAAUAAAAGGACAAACUGAAUUAAAAAAAUGAA